rnacentral:rRNA from 1 species
UUCGCAAUGCCCGAAAGGGUGACGAAGCGACGCCGCGUGUGGGAAGAAGGCCUUCGGGUUGUAAACCACUGUUGGGAGUUAGGAAGUGUGGAGGUGUUAAUAGCGCUUUCUCUUGACUAAAGCUCCAGAGGAAGCCACGGCUAACUCUGUGCCAGCAGCCGCGGUAAUACAGAGGCGGCAAGCGUUGUUCGGAAUUAUUGGGCGUAAAGAGCACGUAGGCGGCUCUGCAAGUCAGCUGUGAAAGCCUUCUGCCUAACGGAAGAACGGCAGUUGAAACUACAGGGCUUGAGUGCGGGAGGGGAGAGUGGAACUUCUGGUGGAGCGGUGAAAUGCGUAGAUAUCAGAAGGAACGCCGGCGGCGAAAGCGGCUCUCUGGUCCGUAACUGACGCUGAGUGUGCGAAAGCUAGGGGAGCAAACGGGAUUAGAUACCCCGGUAGUCCUAGCCGUAAACGAUGGGCACUAAGUAGAGGGGUUUU